UACGUAGGGUGCGAGCGUUGUCCGGAAUUAUUGGGCGUAAAGAGCUCGUAGGCGGUGUGUCACGUCGGCCGUGAAAACCUGGGGCUUAACUCUGGGCGUGCGGUCGAUACGGGCAUCACUAGAGUUCGGCAGGGGAGACUGGAAUUCCUGGUGUAGCGGUGAAAUGCGCAGAUAUCAGGAGGAACACCGAUGGCGAAGGCAGGUCUCUGGGCCGAUACUGACGCUGAGGAGCGAAAGCGUGGGGAGCGAACAGG
rnacentral:rRNA from 1 species